rnacentral:lncRNA from 1 species
AAAAAUUUAACAGCAUCGGCCCCUGGGGGUUGUCGGCCCACCGGGCAAAUGCCCGGUACGCCCGAUUACCCUGAAAACCGGGGCUCCAUUUUUUAUCAAGGUAUGCCCAAACUAUGGCGAAAGUGUGGAAAGCUUGGGCACCUUGCAGAAGCGUGUUCAGAAAUCAUGUGUGGGAAGUGCAGAGAAAUUGGGCACACUUAUGAGGAGUGUCCCAAUGGCAGCAGGUGCAAUCUUUGUGGUGAAAAUUCCAAUCUCUACAGAGAUUGCCCCAAAUCGUUUGCCAACAAACUCAAGGCGAACAAAAUGGCAGCAUGGCCAGGAGGAGCAGAAGAGGGAGAAGGAAGUGGAGGAGGAAGGGGCGGUCCCUGAGGUUUUGGCGGGAGAUUUAAAUCUCCAGCCGGCAUCAGGGAAUGGCCAUGUUGCAGAGGGCGGGGCUAACACCCAGGCAGAGUCACAGCAGGAGCUGGAGGCCACACCCCUCCAGCCUGAACAAGGAGACAAAAUGGUGGUGGAACAGCAAGAGGAGGAGGAAACCAACUCCUCCAUGGUGAUGGUGAAGGAAGGUUUAGUGCCCUCCAGCGGGGGUGAGUCAACCGGCUCCCUCCCAAACGCCCAGGUGGGGAAAAGAGCUGCAGAGUCUCCUCUGUCUAUAUUGACGGAGAAGAAACAGAGGGCCGCACGGGGUUCAGGUAGUUCUUCCACAGAAUGUCAGAAGUGUGAGAGUGUGAGAGCCUCCACUAGAGCAGAGAGCGUCUUGUCCUAUAAAGAUAUAAAGUCAGAUGUGGUUUUAUUACAAGAGUGUGCUUUGCCAUUUAAGAAAUCCUACAGAGAUUGGGAGCAGCGGUGGGCUGCGGGUCCCUUUCUCUGGAGCGGCUCACACUACAACAGAGCCGACGGUGUUGCCAUUUUAAUAAAGAACCCAAACAUCUUGGUGAAGGGCAGCACAGUGGUGAAAGACGGACAGGCUUUGACUUUUUUAGGGACAGACUUUAAAAUUUUAAACAUAUAUGGUUUUAACGACAAAAACGACAGGUACAACCUUUUAGAAGACCUGCAGCCCCACAUGCUAAGGAGGGUUACUUUAGUGGUGGGAGGGGAUUUUAAUUGUGUUUUAACUAGAAAAGAUAGGAAAGGGAGGGGGGAUGAUUUUAAAUUAGACACCAUUUUUACUUCAGGGUUUAGUUAAAGAUUUUAAAUUAGUCGACUGUUUUAAAACAAUGCAUCCAGGGGAGGAGGGCUUCACCUGGUUCAGUGGUGAUUGUGCCCGAGCCUCCCGCAUCGACUACAUUUUUACAAGAGACUGCCCG